GAGAUUGCCUUCCAAGAAAUAAAGAAAAUAAAAAGUUUAAUUAAAAAAGGGAAAAGAAAGGCCAACGAGUGAAUUCUCCCAGCAACAGCAAGAAGGGCAUUUGUCAAUUGAUUAACUACAUCAACAGCAUGCAAAAAUAAUAAUAGUUUUGCCACCAAAAUUUUGAUAAGGGACAAUAAUGCAAAAUACCAACAACUAGAUCAGAUGAAUAUCAGGAAUCUCCUGAAUCUAAAUUGCUCAUGCAGAGAUGGUGUUAGAUACUUGUUUCCUUAUCUUUGCCUGCAACCUCUCCAUAAAAGCUGGAUUAGCUUUAAGUCUUUGCUUCACAUAUGAGGCUCGAGCGUCCUCUGCCAACUUGUUAGCUUUCCCAGCUUCCUCAAUGAGCGAAAACAGAGUCCUAAGGCAAUCUUUUCUGUUUUCCUCCCUAUGUUCAAACCUUUAAAAAAAAAAUAUUGCAAAUUUUCUUGUCAUAUACAGUGCACAUAAUGAAGUAUAAUAUAAUCUUAACAUGCAUGAAGAUGUUAGUAAACAUAAUUUGGUUAUUCACAAACUUGCAGCACCAGUUAAUGAAAAAUAUGCGAACCUUAGUAAAUUACAACUGGAGAGAGGUAACACUAGGCCUGGGCGUCGGUUUGAUCUGAGCCAGUUCUGGUUCAUUGAUUCAAAGGGACCAGGCCCGGACCGCAAGGUCCCCCAGCGCGGGUCGGUUUUGAUCAAAUCUAAGAACUGAAAAAAAAAAUUAUAGUUUUUUAAAAGGAAACAACCUGGUUUUGACUCACGACCAGACCAGCCAGUUCUGGUCUGGUUCAAGGAUGGUUUCUGUCAGGACAAUUUUGGUCCAGUUCCGGGCCCCAACUGGACUGUGGCCAGGCUUAGGUAACACAACUGAAAGAAUCUGCCUCUCAAUGCUACUGGGAGGAAUGACCAUAGCAGGAAAGAGUGCGGUCACAUGAUUAUUGAAACCCAAGCUCAACUACAUAUUUACCCAAACGUAUUGGGCUAAGGCUAUAUCGAUCCUUUUAUUCCAUUCAGCUCUACCUAGGACCAAACUUUCUCUGUUCACUUAAUGAAGCACCAAAAUUUCACCACUUAAACAACUUUUUUUUUAAUAACUAACAGUUAUACUUGACCCAUAGAAAGCAUUGAGUUAACAGGACAUUUGACACUAUAAUAUUAAGCAUCUUCAUAUGUAUAGAAAACUGAGACAGGUAAUUGCUUGCCGGACUUACCUCUCACUUGUGAUUGUAAGUUCAUCUCUACCUGGAUGGUAUCGUUUACCAACCAGUUCCCUCAACCGUCUAAAUUGAUGUUUUGAAAGACCAAGCUCUUUGACAGUAACGGCCAUUUUCACUUUUCUGUUUUUGGGAUGCCAUGCAUCACCUCCUGGAGCUAAGACUACUCGUGUUUGCCACCUAAGAAUUGGUCCCUCAGCUGGUGGGUCAUCCAAGUCUUCUUUCUUGUCUGGCAUCAUAGUUUCAUCAAAUUGUGGGGGGCCCUUGGCUUCCAUUCUCUUUUCAUAUUCCAUGACUAUCUCAUCCUCAAAUUGCUUGAACAGCUUAUAUGCUUCUCCAGCUUCAACCUCGCCUCUUUCACACAUAUCCCCCAGCUCAUUGUACUUCUUUUCCACCUUUUCCUUGAUGUCAUCAUUAUACCUGGAAGAAGCUUAUCCCAGCUAAGCAUAUCCUGCAGAAUUUCCUCACAUUUCCUUGUGUUCUUUAAAAAUCCAUGUUCCAUUGCCUCCUUAAUCAUC
rnacentral:misc_RNA from 1 species